GUCCACGCCCUAAACGAUGUCAACUGGUUGUUGGGUCUUAAUUGACUUGGUAACGCAGCUAACGCGUGAAGUAGACCGCCUGGGGAGUACGGUCGCAAGAUUAAAACUCAAAGGAAUUGACGGGGACCCGCACAAGCGGUGGAUGAUGUGGAUUAAUUCGAUGCAACGCGAAAACCUUACCUACCCUUGACAUGGAAGGAAUCCCGAAGAGAUUUGGGAGUGCUCGAAAGAGAACCUUUACACAGGUGCUGCAUGGCUGUCGU
rnacentral:rRNA from 1 species